rnacentral:rRNA from 1 species
AUUGAACGCUGGCGGCAGGCUUAACACAUGCAAGCCGAGCGGGGGGAGGUAGCUUGCUACCGGACCUAGCGGCGGACGGGUGAGUAAUGCUUAGGAAUCUGCCUAUUAGUGGGGGACAACAUCUCGAAAGGGAUGCUAAUACCGCAUACGUCCUACGGGAGAAAGCAGGGGAUCACUUGUGACCUUGCGCUAAUAGAUGAGCCUAAGUCGGAUUAGCUAGUUGGGGGGGUAAAGGCCUACCAAGGCGACGAUCUGUAGCGGGUCUGAGAGGAUGAUCCGCCACACUGGGACUGAGACACGGCCCAGACUCCUACGGGAGGCAGCAGUGGGGAAUAUUGGACAAUGGGGGGAACCCUGAUCUAGCCAUGCCGCGUGUGUGAAGAAGGCCUUAUGGUUGUAAAGCACUUUAAGCGAGGAGGAGGCUUACCUAGUUAAUACCUGGGAUAAGUGGACGUUACUCGCAGAAUAAGCACCGGCUAACUCUGUGCCAGCCGCCGCAGUAA